GGAAGUAAAAGUCGUAACAAGGUUUCCGUAGGUGAACCUGCGGAAGGAUCAUUACUGAUUUAGCGAACCGAGCAUUAGCGAGGUUUUGCGAUCAAUUUAUAUUUAAAACCCACUCUUUAAUGUAUAAAAUUUGUAUUAAUGAUAAAUUAAAAGAUCACUUUCAACAACGGAUCUCUUGGCUCUCGCAUCGAUGAAGAACGUAGCGAAGUGCGAUAAGUAAUGUGAAUUGCAGUAUUCCGUGAAUCAUCGAAUCUUUGAACGCAUAUUGCACUUUCUGGUAUUCCGGAAAGUAUGCCUGUUUGAGGGUCAGUUAAAUAAAAUCGGUGUUGUUGCUGCUUUCCGUGGUGACGCGUCGGAAUUGAGUCGUCUUCGGUUAAGUGACUUAAAAUUUUAUAUGAUUUUCGAACGUAUUUAAAUUUAUUUGAACGUUUGAUAUCGAAUGCUUAUUAGGUUCGGUCAUCCUCAUGACUCGCGCCUAUAAUUUUUCAUUAAAUGACCUCAAAUCAGGUAAGAAUACCCGCUGAACUUAAGCAUAUCAAUAAGCGGAGGA
rnacentral:rRNA from 1 species